rnacentral:rRNA from 1 species
AACGAACGCUGGCGGCGUGGAUUAGGCAUGCAAGUCGAACGAGAAAGGGUUCGCAAGGGACCCGAGUAAAGUAGGCGAAAGGGUGAGUAGUACCUAGGUAACCUGCCCUGAAGACGGGGAUAACGUCUCUAACGGGACGCUAAUACCCGAUAUGUCGGCGGCCUCGCAUGGGGUUGCCGGUAAAGAUAGCCUCUGUACACAAGCUUUCACUUCAGGAGGGGCCUCGGGCCUAUCAGCUAGUUGGCGGGGAACGGCCCACCAAGGCUGGGACGGGUAGCCGGUCUGAGAGGAUGGUCGGCCGACACUGGGACUGAGACACUGCCCAGACUCCUACGGGAGGCUGCAGUCGAGGAUCUUCUGCAAUGGGCGCAAGCCUGACAGAGCGACGCCGCGUGGGGAGGAAGGCCU